rnacentral:rRNA from 1 species
UACGGGGGGGGCAAGCGUUGUUCGGAAUGACUGGGCGUAAAGGGCGCGUAGGCGGCUUGUAUAGUCGGAUGUGAAAUUCCUGGGCUUAACCUGGGGGCUGCAUACGAGACGUAUGGGCUUGAGUGCGGAAGAGGGUCGUGGAAUUCCCAGUGUAGAGGUGAAAUUCGUAGAUAUUGGGAAGAACACCGGUGGCGAAGGCGGCCACCUGGACCGU